rnacentral:rRNA from 1 species
UACGUAGGGGGCAAGCGUUGUCCGGAAUCAUUGGGCGUAAAGCGCGUGUAGGCGGCUCGGUAAGUCCGCUCUGAAAGCCCAGGGCUCAACCCUGGGAUGCGGGUGGAUACUGCCGGGCUCGAGUCCGGAAGAGGCGAGUGGAAUUCCCGGUGUAGCGGUGAAAUGCGCAGAUAUCGGGAGGAACACCAAUGGCGAAGGCAGCUCGCUGGGACGUGACCGACGCUGAGACGCGAAGGCGUGGGGAGCAAACAGG